UAUUCCACUAGAUGUCUUCAAUGAAAAAUUUGGUCUCCUCCUACUCAAAAUUUUCAGCUAUAAAACUAUUUUCUCUUUUAAUCAUUCAUCCUUUGUUUUUAUCUCUUCCGAUCCAGCUGCGUUUGGCCUUGGCUUCUAGAUUCAUUUCAAAAUUUCUCUAUUUUUCCGGUUUGUAUGUGGAUCAGGAGAGAAAGUAUGAACUCGAGGGAGAUUCUAGAGCAGCAGAAUAAAGAUUGGUCGUAAUGGAAAAAAGAGAAAGGGGCAGGGGGCAGGCAAUUGAUGAAAGUGACAUCAAACGACUAUUGCCAAGGUGAUGCUAACUUGAUAGGUGAACAUUAAUUAGGUGUGGACUAAUAUUAGGCAUAUAUUGUGGGUUUUGUAUAGCUUUUAAUUGGGUUAUAUUCCUAUAUGCCCACGCACACAUACCCCUAUCAGUAUUGCACGAGCAAGCGACAAUAUGUGUAUGUGUGCAAAGUAUUGUGUUAGAACAUAUUUUACUUAAAGAUAUUAGUUGCCAAGUCA